rnacentral:rRNA from 1 species
GGGUUGUGAGGUUAAGCGACUAAGCGUACACGGUGGAUGCCCUGGCAGUCAGAGGCGAUGAAGGACGUGCUAAUCUGCGAAAAGCGUCGGUAAGGUGAUAUGAACCGUUAUAACCGGCGAUGUCCGAAUGGGGAAACCCAGUGCAAUUCGUUGCACUAUCGUUAACUGAAUACAUAGGUUAACGAGGCGAACCGGGGGAACUGAAACAUCUAAGUACCCCGAGGAAAAGAAAUCAACCGAGAUUCCCCCAGUAGCGGCGAGCGAACGGGGAGCAGCCCAGAGUCUGAAUCAGCUUGUGUGUUAGUGGAACGGUCUGGAAAGUCCGACGGUACAGGGUGAUAGUCCCGUACACCAAAAUGCACAGGCUGUGAACUCGAAGAGUAGGGCGGGACACGUGGUAUCCUGUCUGAAUAUGGGGGGACCAUCCUCCAAGGCUAAAUACUCCUGACUGACCGAUAGUGAACCAGUACCGUGAGGGAAAGGCGAAAAGAACCCCGGCGAGGGGAGUGAAAAAGAACCUGAAACCGUGUACGUACAAGCAGUGGGAGCACCUUCGGGUGUGACUGCGUACCUUUUGUAUAAUGGGUCAGCGACUUAUAUUCUGUAGCAAGGUUAACCGGAUAGGGGAGCCGCAGGGAAACCGAGUCUUAACUGGGCGUUAAGUUGCAGGGUAUAGACCCGAAACCCGGUGAUCUAGCCAUGGGCAGGUUGAAGGUUGGGUAACACUAACUGGAGGACCGAACCGACUAAUGUUGAAAAAUUAGCGGAUGACUUGUGGCUGGGGGUGAAAGGCCAAUCAAACCGGGAGAUAGCUGGUUCUCCCCGAAAGCUAUUUAGGUAGCGCCUCGUGAAUUCAUCUUCGGGGGUAGAGCACUGUUUCGGCUAGGGGGUCAUCCCGACUUACCAACCCGAUGCAAACUACGAAUACCGAAGAAUGUUAUCACGGGAGACACACGGCGGGUGCUAACGUCCGUCGUGAAGAGGGAAACAACCCAGACCGCCAGCUAAGGUCCCAAAGUCAUGGUUAAGUGGGAAACGAUGUGGGAAGGCACAGACAGCCAGGAUGUUGGCUUAGAAGCAGCCAUCAUUUAAAGAAAGCGUAAUAGCUCACUGGUCGAGUCGGCCUGCGCGGAAGAUGUAACGGGGCUAAACCAUGCACCGAAGCUGCGGCAGCGACACUAUGUGUUGUUGGGUAGGGGAGCGUUCUGUAAGCCUGCGAAGGUGACCUGUGAGGGUUGCUGGAGGUAUCAGAAGUGCGAAUGCUGACAUAAGUAACGAUAAAGCGGGUGAAAAGCCCGCUCGCCGGAAGACCAAGGGUUCCUGUCCAACGUUAAUCGGGGCAGGGUGAGUCGACCCCUAAGGCGAGGCCGAAAGGCGUAGUCGAUGGGAAACAGGUUAAUAUUCCUGUACUUGGUGUUACUGCGAAGGGGGGACGGAGAAGGCUAUGUUAGCCGGGCGACGGUUGUCCCGGUUUAAGCAUGUAGGCUGGUUGUCCAGGCAAAUCCGGAUAAUCAAGGCUGAGGUGUGAUGACGAGGCACUACGGUGCUGAAGUAACAAAUGCCCUGCUUCCAGGAAAAGCCUCUAAGCAUCAGGUAACAUUAAAUCGUACCCCAAACCGACACAGGUGGUCAGGUAGAGAAUACCAAGGCGCUUGAGAGAACUCGGGUGAAGGAACUAGGCAAAAUGGUGCCGUAACUUCGGGAGAAGGCACGCUGGUGUGUAGGUGAAGUCCCUGCGGAUGGAGCUGAGACCAGUCGAAGAUACCAGCUGGCUGCAACUGUUUAUUAAAAACACAGCACUGUGCAAACACGAAAGUGGACGUAUACGGUGUGACGCCUGCCCGGUGCCGGAAGGUUAAUUGAUGGGGUUAUCCGUAAGGAGAAGCUCUUGAUCGAAGCCCCGGUAAACGGCGGCCGUAACUAUAACGGUCCUAAGGUAGCGAAAUUCCUUGUCGGGUAAGUUCCGACCUGCACGAAUGGCGUAAUGAUGGCCAGGCUGUCUCCACCCGAGACUCAGUGAAAUUGAACUCGCUGUGAAGAUGCAGUGUACCCGCGGCAAGACGGAAAGACCCCGUGAACCUUUACUAUAGCUUGACACUGAACAUUGAGCCUUGAUGUGUAGGAUAGGUGGGAGGCUUUGAAGCGUGGACGCCAGUCUGCGUGGAGCCAACCUUGAAAUACCACCCUUUAAUGUUUGAUGUUCUAACGUUGGCCCCUGACCGGGGUUGCGGACAGUGUCUGGUGGGUAGUUUGACUGGGGCGGUCUCCUCCCAAAGCGUAACGGAGGAGCACGAAGGUUAGCUAAUCCUGGUCGGACAUCAGGAGGUUAGUGCAAUGGCAUAAGCUAGCUUGACUGCGAGCGUGACGGCGCGAGCAGGUGCGAAAGCAGGUCAUAGUGAUCCGGUGGUUCUGAAUGGAAGGGCCAUCGCUCAACGGAUAAAAGGUACUCCGGGGAUAACAGGCUGAUACCGCCCAAGAGUUCAUAUCGACGGCGGUGUUUGGCACCUCGAUGUCGGCUCAUCACAUCCUGGGGCUGAAGUAGGUCCCAAGGGUAUGGCUGUUCGCCAUUUAAAGUGGUACGCGAGCUGGGUUUAGAACGUCGUGAGACAGUUCGGUCCCUAUCUGCCGUGGGCGCUGGAGAAUUGAGGGGGGCUGCUCCUAGUACGAGAGGACCGGAGUGGACGCAUCACUGGUGUUCGGGUUGUCAUGCCAAUGGCACUGCCCGGUAGCUAAAUGCGGAAGAGAUAAGUGCUGAAAGCAUCUAAGCACGAAACUUGCCCCGAGAUGAGUUCUCCCUGAGACUUUAAGUCUCCUGAAGGAACGUU